rnacentral:tmRNA from 1 species
GUUUUAUAUUAAUUAUGUUGGAUUUCCAACUAUAACGAUAAACGAAUUUCGUAAUAACCAUUGCGGACGUGGGGGCAGUACCCACCACCUCCACCAUUAUUAAUUUACGGGGGUGAACUAGGAUCGACGAAUGUCUAAAGGUUAUUCUUUCGUUCGGUAUUGUUCCGCCGUAAUGGGCUAAUAUAUAAAUGCUAACGAAAGUUAUGCACUUGCAGCUUAAUUAAUUUAUUAAUUAAGUUACGGGGUUUGGGGCACCUGGCAACAGAACGCCCCUGUUAAUAAAUUUCAAAAUCACAAAUGUAAUAAUUUCU